GCACAAGCGGUGGAUGAUGUGGUUAAUUCGAUGCAACGCGAAAACCUUACCCACCUUUGACAUGUACGGAACCCUUUAGAGAUAGAGGGGUGCUCGAAAGAGAGCCGUAACACAGGUGCUGCAUGGCUGUCGUCAGCUCGUGUCGUGAGAUGUUGGGUUAAGUCCCGCAACGAGCGCAACCCUUGUCAUUAGUUGCUACAUUCAGUUGGGCACUCUAAUGAGACUGCCGGUGACAAGCCGGAGGAAGGUGGGGAUGACGUCAAGUCCUCAUGGCCCUUAUAGGUGGGGCUACACACGUCAUACAAUGGCUGGUACAAAGGGUUGCCAACCCGCGAGGGGGAGCCAAUCCCAUAAAGCCAGUCGUAGUCCGGAUCGUAGUCUGCAACUCGACUACGUGAAGUCGGAAUCGCUAGUAAUCGUGGAUCAGAAUGUCACGGUGAAUACGUUCCCGGGUCUU
rnacentral:rRNA from 1 species